rnacentral:sRNA from 1 species
UUCUAAACCUGAUUGACGCGAAAAUCCUUUUUUUGUCACCCUCAGCGGAGUCGAAGGGCAAAAAAGAUUGGAGCAGAAAGCAGGGCUAACU